CUCUUAACUCAGGCGCGCCCUGCGACGACGGUGUCUGGUCCCGGCGUGGCCGUAUCGUGCGGCCUCAGGACACGGCCGUUCGCAGGACACCCUGACGGAGAGACGACAGCCUGGCGAUGGCAGGAACUUCCCGGCUAGCCAGGCGGCCUUCCUUGGCGCUUCGUGUGGAUCCUCCCCACCGGGCAUGCGAGAGCUGAGUCGAAGGCUACGACCCGCGGAGGGGAUGAAAGCGGGGUGCCGGGACGGGACAUGUGACCUGGGAUUUUUGAGUCAGCUUUGGGGACGGGGAGGUCCAGGCUGUGGCCCCUUAGGCCGCACGGUGGGAGAGCCUCACUUUUGUUCACAGUGCUGAGGUGUGCAGGACAGAGCAGCCUCGGGGCGCGUCGUGUCACUUGUCCGUCGUGCCUUCUGUGUCUUUUGUGCCUCUUGUGUUGUACGUGCCUUGCCCUAUCUCUUCUGGGGGCUUGCCAGAAACCCCAGCAUCACACUUAUAGCAUCUCCAAUCUCUGGGCUCCUCGGCUCGGCAGCUCUCAGAGGCCUCGGAAUCGCGUCUCUUUUGAAAAGCAUCCGAUCGGAUGUCUUUUAGACGUCUUGUUCCGAGCUGUGUCAACAGCCGUGCGCCGCGAGGAUCCAUUGUUGCGGCUUAGGACUUGAAGAAACGCAAAGAUAGGUAGAGGAUUGCUGCCAUAAGAUUCUUGGGCAUCCGUCUUGGCGGUUCCUGGAGUUUGUCAUUCCGUCAGCAUCUUCUUCCUCCCGGGUUCUGUGAGCUUCAUCAGCUCGCCUUCAUUCUCACCCGGCUCAUCUCGUUCCGCAUUCUCUCAGUCCUUGCGGCCGUUCUUGUGGCCCAGA